rnacentral:rRNA from 1 species
UACGUAGGGGGCAAGCGUUGUCCGGAAUUAUUGGGCGUAAAGCGCGUGUAGGCGGCCAGAUAAGUCCGCUGUGAAAUCUCGAGGCUCAACUUCGAGCUGUCGGUGGAAACUUUCUGGCUAGAGUCCGGAAGAGGAGAAUGGAAUUCCUGGUGUAGCGGUGAAAUGCGCAGAUAUCAGGAAGAACACCAAUAGCGAAGGCAGCUCGCUGGGACGUUACUGACACUGAGGCGCGAAAGCGUGGGGAGCGAACAGG